CUUCCAGUAGCACCUUAGAGACCAACUAAAUUACCGUAGUUAUUGGUAUUGGUAAGUUAGUUAUACCAAUAACUAACUUAGUUGGUCUCUAAGGUGCUACUGGAAG